rnacentral:rRNA from 1 species
AGCGAACGUUUGCGGCGGGCCUAACACAUGCAAGUCGAACGCACUAGCAAUAGUGAGUGGCGCACGGGUGCGUAACACGUGGGUAAUCAACCCUUCAGCUUGGGAUAACGACUUGAAAGGGUCGCUAAUACCGGAUACGGCGAGAGAGGCUUCGGCAUUUCUCGAGAAAGCCUCGCAAGGGGCACUGAAGGACGAGCCUGCGGCCCAUCAGCUAGUUGGUGAGGUAAGAGCUCACCAAGGCGAAGACGGGUAGCUGGUCUGAGAGGAUGAUCAGCCACACUGGAACUGAGACACGGUCCAGACUCCUACGGGAGGCAGCAGUGGGGAAUAUUGCGCAAUGGGCGAAAGCCUGACGCAGCCACGCCGCGUGAGCGAUGAAGGCCUGGUCGUAAGACUCUGUGGGGAGGAGACGAAGAAAGACCCGU